CUGGAAAAUCAUCCUCCUUUCUUAUCGCGGCUGCUAAUGGUUCCAGGGCAAGACAGACCAAUAAUGGGGAAAGAGGGCAACCCUGCCGAGUGCCCCUAUCCAGAGUAAAAUAAUCUGAAAUUAAUCCAUUUGUUUGUACCGCUGCUACAGGGUGUCUAUAAAGUAACUUAAUCCAACCAAUAAAUGUACUCCCGAACCCAUACAUUUCAAAAAUCUUAAAAAGAUAAUCCCAUUCUACCAUAUCAAACGCUUUUUCGGCGUCAAGUGAGAUGGCAGCGACCGGAGACUGAUCAUUCGCCACUGACCACAUGAUAUUGAUGAGACGCCUGAUGUUAUCAGAAGAGCUUCGGCCCCAAAUAAACCCCACUUGAUUUAUACGUAUAAGAGAUGUCAUAACCUUACUUAAUUGGUUAGCCAGAAUUUUUGACAAUUUUUACAUCUAACUGGAUCACGGAAAUUUUUUAUUUUUUUUACACUCGCUUGGAUUAUUUUAAUUAUUUUGCUCAGUUGUCAGUUUAGGGAGAUCUAAUGGUUCCACAAAGUUUCUAAUAUCCUCAUCAGCAGACGAAGACGUGGAACUAUAGAGAUCAAGAUAGAAUUCUUUAAAAGCAUUAUUAAUAUCAAUGGCUGAGGUAAAUAUUUCACCACCAGCAGAUUUCACUGAGGGAAUGAUAGAAAAAGACUCUCUCUGCUUUAUAUAUCUAGCCAAAAGCUUCCCUGCUUUGUCCCCCGACUCAAAGUAUGACUGUCUUGCCCUGAAUAACCAAAACUCCACUUUCUGCAAUAAAAUAGUAUUAUAUCUGUAUUUCAAUCGAGUCAAUUCUCUGAGGCCAUCAGAUGACAUACGGCGCUUCAGCUCUGCUGAUUUCUUUUUCUCCGUAUGUGGCAUCACCUCUAAACUCACCAGGGCAUGAUCUGAGACUAAAAUGUUUCCAAUUGAGCAAUCAACAACAGAUGAAAUGUGGGAUUUGGAUAUAAAAAAAAAUCUAUUCUAAAACAAAUCUUAUUGACUGAUGAAAAAAAUGUAUAGUCCCUACCAGAUGGGUUCAAAAGUCUCCAAAUAUCCGAAAGACCAAGAUUUUUACACAUCCUGUGAAGCGUCAAUGUUGCUCUAGGGGACUUACGCACUUUUGCUUCACUAUGAUCAAGGAUUGAGUCCAUCAAAAGAUUAAAGUCUCCUCCCAAUAUUAUAUCAUGAGGGGUGCCAGUGGCUUGCAACAUCCCUUCAAGAUCUAUAAAAAAGCCCUGAUCAUCAGCGUUAGGUGUGUAAAUAUUAGCCAAAAUCAACCUUUGCCCCUGAAUUUCUGCUAAAACAAUAAUGACUCUUCCUAAUUUAUCUUUAAUCUGUUUGAGACAUUUGAAUUGUAGAUGUUUAUUUAUCAGUGUAAUGACUCCCCUGCUCUUACUUGAGCCAACACUAAAGAAAACAUGUCCACCCCAUAUCUUCCCAAAUUUUUCAGUUUCCUGCGGAGAAAGAUGCAUUUCUUGAAGAAACACUAUAUCAUAUUUCUUACGUUUAAGAAAAGAAGUAACCUUCCUACUUUUUAUGGGGUGCCCCAACCCAUUUACAUUCCAUGUGGAGAGAGAUAAUCCACUCAUAUUAACAUUUGACAUUUUGAUAUAAUAGAAAAAAUAAAUUGUCAAAAAAAAAUUAUACAGACCACACUCCCCAUUAGUGAAACAAUCAAACCCCGAACUUCCUCCCGAACAAAACAAACAGAAAAAAGAAAAACGUGCGUUACUGUGCACGAAAGCGCCAACCGUCGACAAUCCCUCUAAACUCAAAAGGUCCAUGAACACCCACGAGCCCCCACAACAACUUUGCCAUCAGAUUGCUCAAUUUUGCCUCACAAAUUUGUGAGGCAAAAUUACAUAACAGAAAAUACUUUGUGAAAUAAACCCAGUCAAUAGGAAGAAUGAACACAAAGAACGUGUAGAUUCAUUCACAGAACUGUCUCAAAGGUGUGAUCUUCCACAAAACAAAUUCCAGCUGAUAUAAAACAGUUCAGAUUCCUCGAACAGACAAACGAAUGUUCAGUGAGCCAGCUGUUAUGAGUUCAGUGGAUGACGUAAUCAUUCCAAUGUCCCGUAAAAAUACUCAACAAAACAAACUCCAGCCAGCAGUAGGAAUAAGCAUGAUUCACAAAACAAACUCCAGCCAGCAGGAGGAAUAAGCACGAUUCACAAAACAAGCUCCAGCCACUCGGCGGAGCCAACGCAAAAAGAAAAGAGAAACCAAAGUGACGCCCAGCUUCCUCAAGAGUAAGUACAGCGAGUCGACCCACUCACAUGAGAAACAUCCAAUGGUUUACUCAGACAUUGAUUCUAUAAAGACAUUGCCAGAUUUGGACAUGUGAAUACUUUGCGACUGUUUUUCGUUUCUAUUCUCAGUUUGGCAGGAAACAUCAGAGCAAACGAGAUCUUUUUCUGAUGUAAGAGUUUCUUACAUUCCUUGAACCGAUCACAUUUCUCUCUUGUCGAGUUCGCAAAGUCCGGGAACAAGAAAAUAUUGUAAUUCUUCAAAGAAAGCUUCACCUUUGCUCCUCGCCUGGCGCAACACAAGAUCUUUAUCGGAUGAUCUCAGAAAUCUGGCCAGAAUCGAUCUGGGCCUAUCUCCCUCAGCAGAUCUGUGAGCUGGCACUCUGUGAGCUCGCUCGAUUUCCAGCUUGUGGCCUGUUAUGUCGAGCAGACUCGGGAAGAGCUCGUCCAGGAAUUUCACCAUAUCUCUGCCCUCCUCAUGCUCAGGAAUUCCAACAAUUUGAAUGUUAUUCCUGCAGCUUCUAUUCUCAAGAUCUUCAAGCUUUUCAAGGAGAUGUUCCAGAUCAACUUUGGUUGUGGGCGGAUUAGCGGCUAAUUCCCUCUCUGAAGAUUCUAGACAAUCGAUUCGUCUCUCAACAUCAGUCACUUUUGUAACUAACUCAGAGAAUUUUAUUUCCAUCGCCGUAAUCGAUCGAUGUAUUACAAGUCAGCAAGAACCUUCGUCAACAUCACCGACACCGGCUUUCAUCUUGAACACGUAAGUGUAAGUGGAUUUUGACUUCUUUGCCAUGUUUUGCCUCAAAGAGCAAAUGUGUAACUGAGUGUAUCAAAUUUCAUCAGAUUAUAACAUGAAAAUUAUUACAAAUUUAGCAAAGUGCGCAGAGCUCAUCACUCACACGUCUGCUUCUUGCAUGGCGUCACGUGACCCCCACAGAACUGCUUUAGUUCAGCCACACUAGAGGGUUUUCAAGCAUGAACUGCCCGUUAAAGUUCUCAAUCAGGUUCAAGUCAGGACUUUGACUUGGCCACUACAAAACUUUAAUUUUUCUUCUUUCUUACUCCUAUGCUUUGGAUCAUUGUCUUGCUGCAUAAUCCAGUUGUGCUUGAGCUUCAACUCACAGACUGAUGACCGGAUGUUCUCCUUUAGGAUUUUCUGGUAGAGAGCAGAAUUCAUGUUUCCCUCAAUUAUUGCAAGUCACCCUGAAGCAGCAAAACAUCCCCACACCAUCACACUACCAUCAUCAUCACCGGAAUUCUGUGUUCGAUUUACGGCAGAUGUAACGGGACCCCUGUCUUCCAAACAGUUCCACUUUCGACUCGUCAGUCCACUGAACAUUCUCCCAAAAGCUUUGAGGAUCAUCAAGGUGUGUUUUGGCACAAUUCAGAUGAGCCUUAAUGUUCUUCCGGGUUAGCAGUGGCUUUCGCUUCGCCACUCUUCCAUGGAUGGCAUUUUUGGCCAGUGUCUUUCUGAUAGUGAAGUCAUGAACAGUGACCUUUAUUAAUGCAAGAGAGGUCUGCAGUUCCUAGGAUGUUGUCCGUCGCUGUGCUCUUGGAGGAAUUUUGGAAGGUUGACCACUUCUGGGAAGGUUCGCUACUGUGCCAAGUUUUCUCCAUUUGGAGAUAAUGGCUCUCUCUGUGGUUCUUUGGAGUCCCAGAGCCUUUGAAAUAGCUUUGUAACCCUUCCCAGACUGAUGUAUUUCAAUCACCAUUUUCCUCAUAAUUUCUGGAAACUCUUUCGACCUUUGCAUAGUGUGCUGCUGUGUGAGACCUUUUAGCCAACUUCAUGCUGCUGAAAAAGUUUAUUUAUGUGUUGAUUUGAUUGAACAGGGCUGGCAGUAAUCAGGUCUGGGUGUGUCUAGUCCAGCUGAACCCCAUUAUUAAGUACAUUAAUGGCAUUAAGGAUAGGAUAGCCCAGUUUCAUAGAUUUGGGGAUAUAGUAACUAAGGGGGCAAAUACUUUUUCACGCAGGCCCAGUUGGUAUUGGAUAACUUUUUUGCUUCAAUAAAUAACAUUAUCAUUUAAAAAACGUAUUUUGUGUUUACUCAGAUUGCCUUUGUUUUAUGUUACAUUUUGUUUGAAUUUUUGAUGCAAUUUAGUAUGAAAAAUACACAAAAACAGAAGAAAUCAGGAUCACAUCACUGUAAUUAAAUAAAUGCAUGCGCUGUGUACUUAAGUGAAAACGCAGCACUGUUGUAUUUUCUCUAAGCACGCGGGGGCUUGUGAGUGUUUCCAGCUGUUACAGAGCAGUUCACAAUCAUUAGGACAUGUUAGAAAUAUAUGACACUCCAUCACUAAUGAUCAACUGUUGAUGAAAUAUGACAAUGUUUAUAUGUUAUAGAUUAUUUCCCUUAUCUGUUUGAAUGAGCAGCUGGAAGCAGUGAAGCGCAAACAUUUCAAAAUAAAAGUCCCUGGUGUUUUUCAGCUUUUAAAGUGAAAAGUUCUGCACGAUGAAUCAAAUCUAGUUUUCCCCCGGUUAUUGGUAUUUUGGUUGCACCAUAAACUGCAUCUGGAAUUUAAUUCAGUUUGGACUCUUGUAUCCUCUGUCUGGCCCUCCCCAUCACAGGAAGGAAAGACCAAGAACAUUAAUAUAGGCUACAAGUUUUAAAAACUAUUGGCAGAUUAAUUGCCUUUCAGCACAUUAUCGAAUCAGCACAAACCAAUAUCAGUCGACCUCUAAUUUGUAUUUAUUUAUAUAAUGGUACAUAAUCAAUUUUAAUGUGAUAUAUAUAUGUGUAAAACAUGUCUUGAGUGUUUUAAACUUGCAUAUAUCGUGUUUUACUGAUGAUCAUGUUGAAUGUGUGCCGCUGUCUGUUUAAGUAAGAGUCUGUGAUACAGGAUUUAUUUUCAGAUUGUGUGAGUUUAUUAUGGGGAUACAUUUGUUUCAGUCAGAGGUGAUGAAGUUGUUUAAAGAGAUGCAGAGUGUAUCACAGCAGAAAGUUGAGAUGGUUGGUGACAGGUGAAAUUGUUUAUCAUAUUUACAGUUUUCAUUGUGAUUAUGGGACAGAGAGCACAUGAGGACAUUUUAGUUAAAUUCUCUGCCAGUAUAUGCCAUAACCUCAUGCGACCCCACGUCCUCAUGCGAGGACAUUGUGUUUUGUCUUCACUAUAUGCUACGCAUAAUUUAAAUUCAUUUAAAGUGACUGAUCUCAGUUCAGAACACUCUGUGCUGUCAGGAAAGGGUUAAACAACAUGGCGCAGAUCUCAGAGAAGUUUGUCUUUGGGAGGAACACCAAAAUAACUACAUCUGGUAAGAAACCUCAUUAGUUUUUACAUUGAAACCUGAUUGAGUCAAAAGAUUAGAGUCUCUAGUUUAUUUCGAUAUGCCAUUUUAAAAAUGUCAUCAAUUUAUCGCGAACCAGCACACUGUUAAACACGAUGACCUCCUGUGAGGACAUUUAGUCAGACUUACUAUAGAAAUUCAAUCCACUGUGCAUUAUCAUGUUGAGAAUCAGUGAGUGUGUCCAAAAGCUGUAAAUGUAGCUUUCAGAGGCUUUAUAUGGAGUUAGGAUGAAAAUAAGGUGCAUUUCAAACUGUUUUGAGACUAGUUCUGUCAUUCACUAAUUAGGGAGCAAGGGAGCAUCCUAUAGCUCUCUAUGCAGCUAAGUUCAUUCACUCUUAAAAUGGAAAAUGCACACAGCAGUCGCACUCAGGUCUCAGGAGGAUAAAGGGAUUGGAAAAGGACUUUUCUCUUUAAGUAGAUAAGGGAACGUGCAUCCACUGUCAUGUUUUUAUAACACUGAAUUCAAUCUCACUGUCGUUCUGUUCCUCUGUCAGGCUGGUAGAGGGUCACGUCACCCCGUCACAGAACUGCAGUGUGAUUCUAGAGGAUGAGUCGGGGGUUUGUGGUUACACAUUUGCCCUCACGGAUGCUAAAACUGCCAUGACUGAUGCUCAGUAUCCAAAGACAAUGAUGCAGGAUUACCCAUCAAUCAUAGCCAUUCACCCCGACCCCACAGCGGCUAAACAUCUGAUUGGACAUGUCCUCUCAUCACCGAGAGACAGCGGUGAGUUUAACAAGACAGAGACCAGUCAGAACUAUGUGGGUUUAGAGCUGUGAGAAAGAGCUAUUUAUUCUGAAGUUAUAUAAAACAGGAAAACAUAAACAAUCAUAGGUUGCAGGUUUUGUUUAUUUGACAUGUUUAUUGACUCUCUUUUUUCUUCUUCUUUAUCUUUUCAAACUGAUCUUCAUUAUUCACCUGUAUGUUUUUCUCAGGUUCUUCUGGAGUUUUCAGUGAGUUCAGAUCAGAUGACAGAAGAAUGCUGGACUUCCCCAAAACACUGAACUUAUUCCAGGUGCUCAGAGUCCACGGGCUUCCGACGGACCUGGUCGUCAUGGGAACUAAACUGUGAUGUCAUGAUUAAAGCUGAAGGAUAAUCAGUCCACAUUAAAACCUGCUGAUGAUUAAACAGAAUUUAAUCGUUAAUUUAAAAUGGAUCCAGAUUGUUCAGACUGCUCAUUUGCUGAUUUUUGUCACUGGUUCUUUUAUGAUAUCAUGACUGUUAUGAUUGUAAAAAAAAUCAGUAUAAAAAAAAAAUGCUUUAUUGAUUAUAAAAUCUUUAUUUGCAUAUUCAUUUUAAUAUAUAUGUCUCACUAUAAGGACAGGUUUGUCUUUUAAUUAAAGACUUCGCAAUGUUUGCAAGUCAUCCACACCGGAGACUUUCGAAAACACUUUAAGGCCCCAGCACACUCACGGAGAAGUUCUUCUUCGUUCUUCACUCAGAGCCAAAAACAAGCUGAGCAACAACAUACUGUUUGUGAACAUUUAUGCACCCGCCAAACCGCUGUGUAAGUGUUUAGAGGAGCCUUUAAAUAUGAGGAUGCUCAAGACUACAUGUAAAACAACUAUUAUGGCAUUAAAAUGUGUUAUCUUUGAUGCCUCAUUCUAUGAGUAGAAUUCACAAGUGAUCAGUAAAAUAAAUGUAUGUAUAUUUGCAGUAGAUAAUGUGUAAUUUAUCAUAUUUUCUGCAUUCAUGCCGCUAAUGCGCUAACUUUAUAAGCAGCCAUAAUAUGCACCGAUUACACUGUUAUUGUAACUUAUGAUGAAACUGACACUACUGAGAAUAUGGCUGUAUAAAAGUGUGUUAAUGACAAAAGCAUGAUGAUUAGAGGCAUAUCUUACUUUGGGCAGAUGUGUGAAUGGUUUUCGGCUGCAGAUGGUACAUGAGUGAAGCAGCAUGUCAAACAACAGAGUGAAUGGGCACUUAAGAGUAUUUGAGUAGAAUUGAUUCAUUUUGAAAACUAAUUAAACAAAAAAAAUUGCAUGACAUGUUCUUGGAAAACGUCUCUACGUGAACGGUCAUACAGAUGUAGGUAAAUUUGCACCAGCUCACUAAUGUGUGUUCACGUUGACUGAUCUUAACUGACUGAACAGAAAUCAGCUGUCGGCCUCAAAGUAGGUGGAGCUCCAGGUCACACCAACCGAUGAAAUGGACCAAUGGUGUUUAGCAGCCGUUAAGAAGUUUUCCCACCAAGAAGAAGAACCGAAACCUUCAACUUCGUAGGAAGUGUGCAGGGGCCUUUAGUGCUGGACACUCUGAAAACUAUGACAUUAGGAAAUCGAAAAA